rnacentral:rRNA from 2 species
GAAAUACCACCCUUUAAUGUUUGAUGUUCUAACGUGGAUCCGUAAUCCGGGUUGCGGACAGUGUCUGGUGGGUAGUUUGACUGGGGCGGUCUCCUCCUAAAGAGUAACGGAGGAGCACGAAGGUUGGCUAAUCCUGGUCGGACAUCAGGAGGUUAGUGCAAUGGCAUAAGCCAGCUUGACUGCGAGCGUGACGGCGCGAGCAGGUGCGAAAGCAGGUCAUAGUGAUCCGGUGGUUCUGAAUGGAAGGGCCAUCGCUCAACGGAUAAAAGGUACUCCGGGGAUAACAGGCUGAUACCGCCCAAGAGUUCAUAUCGACGGCGGUGUUUGGCACCUCGAUGUCGGCUCAUCACAUCCUGGGGCUGAAGUAGGUCCCAAGGGUAUGGCUGUUCGCCAUUUAAAGUGGUACGCGAGCUGGGUUUAGAACGUCGUGAGACAGUUCGGUCCCUAUCUGCCGUGGGCGCUGGAGAACUGAGGGGGGCUGCUCCUAGUACGAGAGGACCGGAGUGGACGCAUCACUGGUGUUCGGGUUGUCAUGCCAAUGGCACUGCCCGGUAGCUAAAUGCGGAAGAGAUAAGUGCUGAAAGCAUCUAAGCACGAAACUUGCCCCGA